GACGAACCGUGCGAACGUUGUUCGGAUUCACUGGGCUUAAAGGGCGCGUAGGCGGGCUGCCAAGUCCGGGGUGAAAGCCCCCAGCUUAACUGGGGAAGUGCCUUGGAUACUGGUGGUCUUGAGGAGGGUAGGGGCGUCUGGAACGGUCGGUGGAGCGGUGAAAUGCGUUGAUAUCGACCGGAACUCCGGUGGCGAAGGCGAGGCGCUGGACCCUUUCUGACGCUGAGGCGCGAAAGCCAGGGGAGCAA
rnacentral:rRNA from 1 species